rnacentral:sRNA from 1 species
AUAUGUUUGCUAUACUUAUGUACGUUUUGAGUUUGUGACGGUUAGCUAGCCCCAGAAAAGCGGGGUGAUGCUUAUGAAUUUUAGUGUUUUACCCCUUAGAGAGGAACAGAUGACAGUAUUUGAAGCAAUCACUUCGAUGAUUGAUUUUGCAAUACUAGUUGUUGCUCUAAUAAACAUAAA